UUCCUCUCCUCCUUGCCUCUCAGCAUCUGGACUGCCGUGCGUGGAGCAGCUUUGCCCCACCAAAUGCUCCCACCAGGAUGUCCCGCCUCACCACAGGUCUGGAAGCAGCAAGGCCAAGGUGAACACGGAUUGAAACCUUUGACUGUGAGCUGAAUCCUCCCAGCUGACUUCCUUGUCUGGAAAGGUAGCUGGUGCGAUGCAAAUGCAUCAUGAAAGUCACAAUCAGCCAGAGUACCACCGUGCAGAGAGUCACAUUAUCUGCCAACUGAGCCCUGGGAGUCAUUCUCCUAGACACUGAGAGAGGAUUCUCCAAUUCCUGACAGAGGUUUUGACCCGCCUUUUUCAGAAGAGGAACUAUUGAUUCUCGGCCUAGAUGGACGGGUUGUCCCUGCAAGACUGGGCAGCUCCUUCUGGCCUGGUCUGUCCCUUCCUGAAGAGCAACCUGGAUCCUUUGACCAGCGUGGAUAGCUCAUAUUUCCCUCUUCAGAGUCGGCACGCUGGGCUCUUAGACAAAAUUAACUCUUAUCCACCGCCCCCCUUCCCCAUUUCCUUUGGAAGCUAAUCCCCAACGCUGUCUUUUUCAUCAU